CACGUAAGGGGCGAGCGUUGUUCGGAAUUAUUGGGCGUAAAGGGCGUGCAGGCGGCUUUACAAGUCUGUUGUGAAAUCCCGGGGCUUAACUCCGGAUCCGCGAUGGAAACUGUAAGGCUUGAAUCUUGGAGGGGGAGUUGGAAUUCCUAGUGUAGGGGUGAAAUCUGUUGAUAUUAGGAAGAACACCGGUGGCGAAGGCGAACUCCUGGCCGAAGAUUGACGCUGAGGCGCGAAAGCGUAGGUAGCAAACAGG
rnacentral:rRNA from 1 species